GUUAUAUGGAGUAACAGCUUCUGAAGAUGAAGAAGAUAAAGAAAGACUGAGUAUUGACUUUGCACCUUUAGUUGCUAAACUUACUAACCUUCAUAUUUAGGAAUCUUCUCUAUUUUGUGUUGAGCCAGCAGCAAACUUUUAGGUUGCUAUCUUUUUACU